UUGUCCCCAUCAUGUGGUCAAUGGGAAAGCGAAAUAAUCACCGGGUAAGAGAUUUCUUUUCUUUUCUUUUCUUUUCUUUUCAUUUCUUUCUUUCUUUCUUUCUUUCUUUCUUUCUUUCUUUCUUUCUUUCUUUUUCAAAUUUAAUUACCUUCUUGGCCAAAAUAAUUGUGCCCUCCAGCAGUUGAUCACGGGGCCUAGAAGAGGAGCUGGCCAUGGACAUGAUCCAAAAUGAAUCCUACCCAUGACAAGAGAUGUGGAACAUACAGCUCCCUUUUCACCUCAUGCCUUCAGGACUUCCAGGUUUGGUGAGAUUCAAAUUAGGAAGCUGCCAUGUAUGAGGGAAAGGAAGAAACAACGCCAUAUCAUUUUUUUAAUCUACCAGUUCAAGAGUACUUCCAGCAGAACAUCUGGUCAUCUGGCAGUCUUUUUUAAUGGCCCAGAACUGAGAAUGGCAAGCAUCUGUUACUCAACACAGGUGCAAUAUAGUUUAUUAAUGUCAUACUUUGUAUUCCCCACAGAUACGAGCAGAGACAUCCCACGGAAGUGCUAUUUCCAUGUGAAAAAGGACAAGGCAUUACAGGGGUUUAUCGUGUGGUGCCUCUGCAUGUCGUACAUGAUGUUUUGGCCUUUAAUUACCAAAAUGUCCUGUCUUCUGAUCGGCAGCUCAGAUAAUUACUCAACAGAGCCUUCUAAGAUGGCGUGGAUAACAUUGAUGAGUCCAGGGAGGGAUUUUCUGCCUCAGAAGCCUCGCACAGGCCACUGAAAAUCAGAAAACACAAACAAGAGAUAAAGUUAUUGUGAAAGUGUUAUGAGACAUCAUAAUGAAAACUCUGGGGGGAAAUAUAUCUCUACUGCUCUCAAUAGUGGGUGCACUGAUUUUAGGUAGGUUGUUUCUUUGAGUUGUAUUUGAGGAUUUUUGAGCAUUAAGAUAUCCACCAUUCCCCCCUCUUUUUGUAUGUUUUAUUUGUAUAUGGCAGUUGUUAAUAAAAUUAAUUUUAAAAAUGAGAAAAUAGUUUCA
rnacentral:lncRNA from 1 species